rnacentral:lncRNA from 1 species
GUACUUGAAAACCAUGUAUAUAAAGUCUUGGGAUGAUGAAUAAAAGCUUAAAGUUAUCUUGGAGUUAUGUUGAGUUGACUUGAAAAUUUUGAUUUUAGCUGAGCAGGAGCAAGUUGUAGUAGAUGAAUAGGGUUUACUAGUAGCUUAUGAACCAUGAUAUAAGAUACUAGCAAAACUCUACUCAACUAUUGCACCCAUACUCGGGCU